UACGUAGGGGGCAAGCGUUGUCCGGAAUCAUUGGGCGUAAAGAGCGUGUAGGCGGCCCGGUAAGUCCGCUGUGAAAGUCGGGGGCUCAACCCUCGAAUGCCGGUGGAUACUGUCGGGCUAGAGUGCGGAAGAGGCGAGUGGAAUUCCUGGUGUAGCGGUGAAAUGCGCAGAUAUCAGGAAGAACACCCGUGGCGAAGGCGGUUCUCUGGGACGGUACUGACGCUGAGGCGCGGAAAGCCCAGGGGAGCGAACGGG
rnacentral:rRNA from 1 species